rnacentral:tRNA from 3 species
GUCCAUGUAGCUUACAAUAAA